GAUUUUUUUUAGUAGGUGAAUUGUGCUUGUGCCUUUGAUCAGAGAUGCUGCUUUUGUUAGGUGCUGCAAAGCAUAGGAUGUUUUAUUUUCAGGUGGAUGAAGAAGCAGGGGGUUUAUGCUGUGUGUCUGUGUUCAAUGGCACAGGUUGAAGGGGAAGGAAAAGCAGAUGAAAACCAUGGAGGCCUUAUUGGAAGAGAAGGAGAAAGAGAUUGUUAAGAAAGGAGAAUGUCUGCAGGGUCAGAAGGAUACAAUUGCACAAUUAACCAGUAAAGUUCAGGAGCUGGAACAACAGAACCUGCAACAACUCCAACAGGUACCUGCUACAACCCAAGUCCAGGACGUG
rnacentral:lncRNA from 1 species